AUAGGGAAUAGGGCUCUGGUCUAAAGUAGUGCACUAUAUAGGGAAUAGGGCUCUGGUCUAAAGUAGUGCACUAUAUAGGGAAUAGGGCUCUGGUCUAAAGUAGUGCACUAUAUAGGGAAUAGGGCUCUGGUCUAAAGUUGUGCACUGUCUAGGGAAUAGGGCUCUGGUCUAAAGUUGUGCACUGUCUAGGGAAUAGGGCUCCAUAGGGCUCUGGUCUAAAGUUGUGCACUGUCUAGGGAAUAGGGCUCUGGUCUAUAGUAGUGCACUGUCUAGGGAAUAGGGCUCUGGUCUAUAGUAGUGCACUGUCUAGGGAAUAGGGCUCCAUAGGGCUCUGGUCUAAAGUAGUACACUAUAUAGGGAAUAGGAUGCCAUUUUAAAGGGAAACUCCAACCAGAAAACCUUCUGUUGGUACUUGUUUCAUUAGUCCACUGUUGAUAUAGUGCCAAAAUGUUUUGCAUGUCAGCAAUCAAGUUUUCCAAGAUGUAGAACUUUAAAAAUCCAGAAAUACAACCAGUAUGAGGCAUUUUGGCAUCAUAUGAGGCUGCGCUGUUGAAUAUCAUCUGGAGGGAGGAACACAUCCUCAGUAGAAUACAGACAGUACAAUCAGGAAUGGUACAAUAUAUUAACUAUAUGUACAGCCAUGUGUUGACUACCAUGUUAGGUGGUCAAAGAUACUGUAACCUGGGGGGUAAGGAGAGGUAUGGGGGGGGUAUUAUGGAGGGGUAUUAUGGAGGGGUAUUAUGGAGGGGUAUUAUGGAGGGGAAGGGGGGUUAUGGAGGGGAAGGGGUUAUGGAGGGGGGGGGGUUAUGGAGGGGGGGUGAACAGCAGAACAACAAACAAACCAAAACUUCACAAAAUGUUGUCAUAAUAUAUGCGCAAACCGUUUGGACUGGGAAGCAUGCGAUAGGCUUAGAAGGUGGUGGUGGGAGGGGUCUCUCUCAGCAUCUAUCUGAAGGGUCAGUCACUGAAAAGGUCACACACACACACACACACACACACACACACACACACACACACACACACACACACAAAUAUAUAUAUAUAUACACACACACACACACACACACACACACACAAAUAUAUAUAUAUAUACACACACACACAC
rnacentral:lncRNA from 1 species